GACGAACGCUGGCGGCGUGCCUAAUACAUGCAAGUAGAACGCUGACUACUUUAGCUUGCUAGAGUAGAAGGAGUUGCGAACGGGUGAGUAACGCGUAGGCAACCUGCCUACUAGCGGGGGAUAACUAUUGGAAACGAUAGCUAAUACCGCAUAACAGUGUUUAACACAUGUUAGAUGCUUGUAAGAUGCAAUUGCAUCACCAGUAGAUGGACCUGCGUUGUAUUAGCUAGUUGGUGGGGUAACGGCCCACCAAGGCGACGAUACAUAGCCGACCUGAGAGGGUGAUCGGCCACACUGGGACUGAGACACGGCCCAGACUCCUACGGGAGGCAGCAGUAGGGAAUCUUCGGCAAUGGGGGCAACCCUGACCGAGCAACGCCGCGUGAGUGAAGAAGGUUUUCGGAUCGUAAAGCUCUGUUGUAAGAGAAGAACGUGUGUGAGAGUGGAAAGUUCACACAGUGACGGUAACUUACCAGAAAGGGACGGCUAACUACGUGCCAGCCGCCGCGGUAA
rnacentral:rRNA from 1 species